rnacentral:rRNA from 1 species
CAGUCGCCACGGGAAUACGAAGGGGGCUAGCGUUGCUCGGAAUGACUGGGCGUAAAGGGCGCGUAGGCGGAUGGCACAGUCAGAUGUGAAAUUCCCGGGCUUAACCUGGGGGCUGCAUUUGAUACGUGUUGUCUAGAGUGAGGAAGAGGGUUGUGGAAUUCCCAGUGUAGAGGUGAAAUUCGUAGACAUUGGGAAGAACACCGGUGGCGAAGGCGGCGACCUGGUUCAUAACUGACGCUGAGGCGCGAAAGCGUGGGGAGCAAACAGGAUUAGAUACCCGAGUAGUCCCUGUCUCUUAUAC